UACGGAGGGGACUAGCGUUGUUCGGAAUCAUUGGGCGUAAAGCGCGCGUAGGUGGCCUCAUAAGUCCGCUGUGAAAGUCAAAGGCUCAACCUUUGAAAGCCGGUGGAUACUGUGGGGCUAGAGUACGGAAGAGGCGAGUGGAAUUCCCGGUGUAGCGGUGAAAUGCGCAGAUAUCGGGAGGAACACCUAUGGCGAAGGCAGCUCGCUGGGACGUUACUGACGCUGAGACGCGAAAGCGUGGGGAGCAAACAGG
rnacentral:rRNA from 1 species